rnacentral:rRNA from 1 species
AAGAAUGAGCCUGCGAGUCAGCGGCAUGUCGCGAGGUUAACCCGUGUGGGGUAGCCGUAGGGAAACCGAAUCCUAAUGGGGUGUUUAGUGGCAUGUCCUGGACCCGAAGCGGGGUGAUCUACCCAUGGCCAGUGUGAAGCAGCAGUAAGGUGCUGUGGAGGCGCGAACCCACGUAGGUUGAAAACUGCGGGGAUGAGCUGUGGGUAGGGGUGAAAGGCCAAUCAAACUCCGUGAUAGCUGGUUCUCCCCGAAAUGCAUUUAGGUGCAGCGUCGCAUUAGCUUGGUGGAGGUAGAGCUACUGGUUGGUUGAGCGGGACUACAAUCUUAGCAAUG